GUUACGACAUGUCGCAACUAACAAUUUAGUAAAAAAAAAAUUGUCGAUAUCUUAUAAGGUUAAUGAAAAAAGGUGAAAAUAAGCCAAAAUCAAAAUUUAAGAAUUUGACCUUGACCUUUGACCUUGACCUAAUUUUCAUUUUUUUGGACCAAGGAUCUUAAAUCAAAAGACCCUAGGUCUCUAUCACUUAUAGUUUACCAGUUAGAAAUGCAUAUCACUGAUAUCAUAUAUAAAAGGGGGGAUAACUCUCAUAUGGAGUCUCCGGAUAGCUUCGGUUGAAAUGAAACAGAACAUCCUAAGGAUAUAACGAGCAAUUUGGAAAAAUAAAUUUGUCGGUUUCUUAUACGGUUGCGAAGGAGUAGUGGCCACAAGAAAAACAGUGUUUGGGGAGAUAACUCUUACAAGGUAAAGUUUUUUGUUACGCGGUGUCAGUUUCAGAAGCGCAUUAACUGUUCGAUAUCAUAUACCUUAAUAUCUAAGCGACAUCUUGUGAAACAAAAAAACAGCGAAGGAAAAAAAAGUUGGCGGAAGAAAAAAAAAAAAAAAAAAUAAAUAAAAAAACCUAAUAAUGAAAGGUUGAAAGACCUAAUAAUAUAAUAAUAAUAAAACCAAUUGUUCAAAGAACAAUUGAAGGUCUUUCAACCAAUAAGGAUCUAUUUUGAUAUGAAAAUAUUAAAAUUCAGUUGAAAAUGUCAGUUCCUAUGGCUUUAUGAUGUAUAAAUAUGAAUUUUAAGCAAAGGUCAAAAUCUAGAACGUCCAAUUAACCUAUGACCUUGACCUCAAUUUCAAGGUCAUAAACUAAGGAUCCCAAACACAAAAGACCCUAGGUUCCUUAAUAUGUAUGGUUCAUGAGUAAUAAUCACUUUACGCAUAAUUCUAAUAUAAGAGGGGCAAAAACUCCCAUUUAUUGUCUUACGCACCCUUCCAACCAAAAAUUUAUAAGUUCUGACAUGUCGCAACUAACAAUUUAGUAAAAAAAUUUGUCGAUAUCUUAUAAGGUUAAUGAAAAUAAGGUGAAAAUAAGCCAAAAUCAAAAUUUAGAAUUUGACCUUGACCUUUGACCUUGACCUAAUUUUCAUUUUUUUGGACCAAGGAUCUUAAAUCAAAAGACCCUAGGUCUCUAUCACUUAUAGUUUACCAGUUAGAAAUGCAUAUCACUGAUAUCAUAUAUAAAAGGGGGGAUAACUCUCAUAUGGAGUCUCCGGAUAGCUUCGGUUGAAAUGAAACAGAACAUCCUAAGGAUAUAACGAGCAAUUUGGAAAAAUAAAUUUGUCGGUUUCUUAUACGGUUGCGAAGGAGUAGUGGCCACAAGAAAAACAGUGUUCGGGGAGAUAACUCUUACAAGGUAAAGUUUUUUGUUACGCGGUGUCAGUUUCAGAAGCGUAUUAACUGUUCGAUAUCAUUUACCUUAUAUCUAAGCGACAUCUUGUGAAACAAAAAAACAGCGAAGGAAAAAAAAGUUGGCGGAGAAAAAAAAAAAAAAUAAUAAUAAUAAUAAUAAUCAGAACAAACCCUAUAGGUCUUUCACCUGAAAGGUUGAAAGACCUAAUAAUAAUCAGAACGAAUACAAUAGGUCUUUCACCUGAAAGGUUGAAAGACCUAAUAAUCAGAAGAAAUCCAAUAGGUCUUUCCACGGAAAGGUGGAAAGACCUAAUUAU
rnacentral:lncRNA from 1 species